AUCACACUUGAAGAGCGGGUGGGUUGUCUGGUCCCAGGGAGAAGGAAGGAGCAGAUGGGGAGGAAUGAGGCCGGGAACCGUGGUUGGGGUUUUCUGAAUUUGUUGAAGCCACUAGUUGGCGCCCUUUAACAAUUCUACAAACCUUUAGAUGGUGAGGCUUCUGUGGCUGGACUGGGAAGGUUUAAUGUCUGCUUUUUGACAAUUUGGGUCUGGAGGGGGCUUAGGCUUCCACAAAAAUUACUUUGUGGACAGUUUCAUAGGCUUUUGCCUUUUAACUCUUCAAAGCAACAGUUUUCUCAACUGUCAUCCCCGCGGGGGAGUGGGGAAGACAAGUGUUCUUGAGAAGGAAAAGCUGACAGGAUCUGGGUUGAGCAAGCAUUAAUUGAGCGCCUUCUGUGUCCUGGACAUCAUGCCAACACCAUGGGCAGCCCGAGAAGAGAGGUGGGUGGUUUGGACCCCAGCUCUGCCUUGAACCUCACCUGCUCUCCUCUACUCCCAGUGUUUAUUGGAUAUUCCAGAACGGUACAAACAAACCAUAAACUUUAUAUUACAGGUUCAUUCUGUGUAAAUACUAUUAUCUUCAAGUUGUAGUUUCUUUCUUGGGUCCAGGCUGUGAAAUUGGCUUCACCCCUACCACACCCCAGCGGACAGGCUUGUUCUCAUGUCACGCUCCACCCCUCCAGUCUCCUCAACUGGAAAACUUGCCUCUUUUCCUCACUUCCUCUGCUCCUUACGAUGGCUUCACAUGGAAGGUGAAGCCGAGAUCACCCCAAUUUUACAGGCGAGGAAACUGAGGCCAGGAGUGCCUAUUGGGGCUGAGAAAUUGCCAGGAUUUCCUUCCCCAUUAAGGAGCUGAGAGUCCUAGCUCCAGACUCAUUGGCUUGUUCUAACAUCAAAACCACUGAUGGGAAAAACCACUUAGUGGAAUUCAAUGCUAUCUGCUGUAUUAGUUUAAAUCAGUGGCAUUCAAACUUGUUUCUCCUUUUCACUGCAGAACACGUUCUUGACAUGUACUUGACUCAGAGUCCCACGACUAAAGGAGACAGAGCUCAAGGCAGCCCACCUGAGGCUGGGGAGGGAGUCCAGAGUGCAGGCCACCUGGCCCCCAUUUCCCCACCCCUUGGGGGCCUUUGGGCAGCUCCUUGAACCCCUGAAAGGGGCCACCAGGAUAAAGUUUGUUAAAAUGCAUGCCUUGUGCCCCACUGUCAUAUGAUGGGCUUUUGGUACUCUUCACUCCCCCAGCAGGCAAAGACACUGGCCAUCCCCAAAUUCCUUCCCCUCCUGCACAGCGUCACCCACCUGCCAAGCAGCCUCAUGUUGGACCAUUUGCCAGCAGGCCCUGCAGGUCUGGGGGACAGCCUAGAGGUGGUGACUUACAUGCGCAGCAUAAGAGUUUUCAGGGGACCAAAAGGACUCAAUACAUGCCAUUGGCUCCUGACUCAGUUUCCCCAAGCCAUGCCUCCUGAGUGCUCCAUCUGUCUCCAAAUCCUGGUUUCUGUGCGGGGACCUCUGUCUACAAUAAACAGGAUACUAUGAGCUCAUUCUUCAAUGUCCUCUUGUCAUGCUUUCAGAUGAUUCAAAGUAUAUAAGCUAAGCCCAUUUGCAGGAAGCUCAUAGAGGGCGACUGGCUCAUCACUUGAAAAUACGGUUGGAGUGAGAUGGAGAGCCCAGAGUCUCCUGAUUCCUGGUCUACCACCGGACCACAUGGCUCCAAAACCAACACUGGAACUGACGUCCUCUACUGGAAUCCAAUGGAGAACGAAGAAAGGAACUGGAAAGAGGUUGUCUGUGGGGGAGACGAGGGUGUGGAAAGGUCCCAGAAUCAGAGGACCACCAGUGUGGGGCCUCGCAGAUCUUCCCUGAGGAUUCGGGCUAUCUUCCAAAUGUCCAACACACGUUCCACAUUCCACGGACAGCUGGCUGCAGGCAAAGGGGACAGGAGGACGCUGCUGUGAAGUCAGUCUUAAAGAGAGAGGGAGAGAGAAAGUGGAGUUACUCUUUUUCUCUGUUUUCCUUGGGCAGAAGCACAAUAAAUCAGCAUGGCAGAAUUAAAUUCAGAUCUGUCCGAUUUCCUCCA